AGGGGGGUAGAGCAGUGGCAGCUCGCAGGGCCCAUAACCCUGAGGUCGGGGGUUCGAAUCCUCCCCCCGCAACCA
rnacentral:tRNA from 1 species